rnacentral:rRNA from 1 species
AUUGAACGCUGGCGGAAUGCUUUACACAUGCAAGUCGAGCGGCAGCACGGGGGCAACCCUGGUGGCGAGCGGCGAACGGGUGAGUAAUACAUCGGAACAUGCCCAGUCGUGGGGGAUAACACUUCGAAAGAAGUGCUAAUACCGCAUACGUCCUGAGGGAGAAAGCGGGGGAUCUUCGGACCUCGCGCGAUUGGAGUGGCCGAUGUCAGAUUAGCUAGUUGGUGGGGUAAAGGCCUACCAAGGCAACGAUCUGUAGAUGGUCUGAGAGGAUGAUCAGCCACACUGGGACUGAGACACGACCCAGACUCCUACGGGAGGCAGCAGUGGAGAAUUUUGGACAAUGGGGGCAACCCUGAUCCAGCCAUUCCGCGUGAGUGAAGAAGGCCUUCGGGUUGUAAAGCUCUUUCGGCAGGAACGAAACGGCGAGCUCUAACAUAGCUUGCUAAUGACGGUACCUGAAGAAGAAGCACCGGCUAACUACGUGCCAGCCGCCGCGGUAAAAC